UACGGAGGAUCCGAGCGUUAUCCGGAUUUAUUGGGGUUUAAAGGGAGCGUAGGCGGGUUGUUAAGUCAGUUGUGAAAGUUUGCGGCUCAACCGUAAAAUUGCAGUUGAUACUGGCAUCCUUGAGUACAGUAGAGGUAGGCGGAAUUCGUGGUGUAGCGGUGAAAUGCUUAGAUAUCACGAAGAACUCCGAUUGCGAAGGCAGCCUGCUGGACUGUAACUGACGCUGAUGGCUCGAAAGUGUGGGUAUCAAACAGG
rnacentral:rRNA from 1 species